GAUGAACGCUGGCGGCGUGCCUAAUACAUGCAAGUCGAGCGAACGGACGAGAAGCUUGCUCCUCUGAUGUUAGCGGCGGACGGGUGAGUAACACGUGGAUAACCUACCUAUAAGACUGGGAUAACUUCGGGAAACCGGAGCUAAUACCGGAUAAUAUAUUGAACCGCAUGGUUCAAUAGUGAAAGACGGUCUUGCUGUCACUUAUAGAUGGAUCCGCGCUGCAUUAGCUAGUUGGUAAGGUAACGGCUUACCAAGGCAACGAUGCAUAGCCGACCUGAGAGGGUGAUCGGCCAAACUGGAACUGAGACACGGUCCAGACUCCUAAGGGAGGCAGCAGUAGGGAAUCUUCCGCAAUGGGCGAAAGCCUGACGGAGCAACGGCGCGUGAGUGAUGAAGGUCUUCGGAUCGUAAAACUCUGUUAUUAGGGAAGAACAUAUGUGUAAGUAACUGUGCACAUCUUGACGGUAACUAAUCAGAAAGCCACGGCUAACUACGUG
rnacentral:rRNA from 1 species